GUGGGGAAUAUUGGACAAUGGGGGGAACCCUGAUCCAGCCAUGCCGCGUGUGUGAAGAAGGCCUUUUGGUUGUAUAGCACUUUAAGCGAGGAGGAGGCUACCGAGAUUAAUACUCUUGGAUAGUGGACGUUACUCGCAGAAUAAGCACCGGCUAACUCUGUGCCAGCAGCCGCGGUAAUACAGAGGGUGCAAGCGUUAAUCGGAUUUACUGGGCGUAAAGCGCGCGUAGGUGGCCAAUUAAGUCAAAUGUGAAAUCCCCGAGCUUAACUUGGGAAUUGCAUUCGUUACUGGUUGGCUAGAGUAUGGGAGAGGAUGGUAGAAUUCCAGGUGUAGCGGUGAAAUGCGUAGAGAUCUGGAGGAAUACCGAUGGCGAAGGCAGCCAUCUGGCCUAAUACUGACACUGAGGUGCGAAAGCAUGGGGAGCAAACAGGAUUAGAAACCCUAGUAGUCC
rnacentral:rRNA from 1 species